UGACAAAGUCCUGAUCUCUGGCACAAAGAGGGAAAAUGCAAGCAAUUGUCAGCAAAAGCAAUUCAACUGUUUUCAUGCAAACUGUUUUCAGCUCACAUACUGCAAGGAAGAGUGGAGAUGUGCUCUAAGAUGAGACAGGGAACACUGCUGGAGGCUUUGAACAGGAACAUACCCAGCCCUCCACUGGUUAAGUGGUACUAUGGCAGAUACGCUGAGGGGGCAUGCAUAGGCUGCUCUGGGCUACACAGAGGAUGCAAACGCUCUUGGACUACUUUCUGUUCUCCACAGGGUAAGAGCCUUCACAGAAGCACAUACUGAAGAGUAUUUAUGUACUGUGACAUGCUGAAACAACAGUUCUUGUUUUCCCUGAGUCCACAGGGGGAAAAAAAGAAAAGAAAAAAGAAAAGAAAAAGAAAAGAAAAGGGGAUUAAAAGGACG
ensembl:lncRNA